UCCUCGAUAGUUUAGUGGUAGAACACCAGUUUGUGGCACUGGUAACAUGGGUUCGAUUCCCAUUCGGGGAA